GGCCUCAGGGGAAACCAGCCCUGCUCACACCUGGACCUUGGGCUUCCAGCUCCCAGGACUGUGGGGAAAUGAAAUUCUGUUGAAGCCACCCAGGCUGCGGCAUUUGGUUAUGGCAGCCCUAGCAACGGAAUCUACUUUGUAAGGAAGAAUGACUUCAUCGGGUAGUUCCAGCGAUGGCUUGGGGACAUUUUGAGGGCUUUCAAGUCCCUGCUGUGGACAAUCUGCAUGUGACAGCUGAGACAGGAGGAAGAGGCCCAAGGGAACGCAUUCCUGCUAGGACAGAGCUGGCUGGCUGCACAGUGGAGAGUGUUUGCUGGAAGCUGCUACCAGCCAUGGGGCACCUACCCGCCCAGCGGCCCUUGCAUCCAGAUGCAGAGCCCUGGACAAAGGACGGAGCUGUGAAAACAGUGCCUGGAGGAUCUGAUCCCUUCUAGCAAGGCCAAGAGACACGGCUGGGCUGGGGAGGACGGGGUCUCCAGGCCUCACCAUGGCCACUUAUCUAGACGCCAGCAUCAAAAGGUUCAAAGCCCAGGUCACAGGCUCAUGAAAAAAUUAAGCAGGUAUCAAAAAAUAUCACAAAGGCAACAGUUUUAUGACAUGAAAACAUCUAUCAGAGAC
rnacentral:lncRNA from 10 species